rnacentral:rRNA from 1 species
GACAGAGGGUGCAAACGUUGUUCGGAAUUACUGGGCGUAAAGCGUGUGUAGGCGGUUUGGCAAGUCGGAUGUGAAAGCCCCGGGCUCAACUCGGGAAGUGCACUCGAUACUGCUAAACUUGAGUGUCGGAGAGGUUGGUGGAAUUCUCGGUGUAGAGGUGAAAUUCGUAGAUAUCGAGAGGAACACCGGUGGCGAAGGCGGCCAACUGGACGAACACUGACGCUGAGACGCGAAAGCGUGGGGAGCAAACAGG